GUGCAGCAGGCGAGAAACCUCCGCAAUGCGCGAAAGCGCGGACGGGGUUACCCCGAGUGCCGUCCGCUGAGGACGGCUUUUGCCCAGUGUAGCCAGCUGGGCGAAUAAGGGGAGGGCAAGGCUGGUGCCAGCCGCCGCGGUAAAACCAGCUCCUCGAGUGGUCGGGAUGAUUAUUGGGCCUAAAGCGUCCGUAGCCGGUCUGGUAAGUCCCCGGUUAAAUCCGGCAGCCUAACUGUCGGCCUGCUGGGGAUACUGCUAGACUUGGGGGGUGGGAUAGGGCUAAAGGGUACUCCCAGGGUAGGGGUGAAAUCCUAUAAUCCUGGGGGGACCACCAGUGGCGAAGGCGUUUAGCUGGAACACGCCCGACGGU
rnacentral:rRNA from 1 species